GCUUGCUCUGAGCCAGUCUGCACACAUGCAUUAUUAAUGCUUUGUUUGUUCUAACUCUCCAGCCCUGGUAGCACCUGGAGGAGUACGGAGAGCUGACUGGUUAGUGCCUGGGUCCAGAUGUCCAGAAAGAUGAUAACAGAGGGAGGCACAGACAUCCCACGGACGUGGAGACUACCUGGCCAGAGGGACGAGCUUGGGUGCUGGUGAUGGACUGUCUCAUUCUCGAUAACGGCGCUGGCUUGAGACAAGCUCAUUGAAAUGAAAGAAACUUCGACAUCAGAGCACUGGGAAAGCAUGUCUUCACUUUGGGAUGGAUAAUGAGGAGCUUCACACUCACAGAAGGACAAAGAACAAGGAAGCAUGAGAGCUUGGUGUGAGGUCUCUGCCUGUCCUGCCUAUGGCGAGGGAAAAAGAAAGCUGAACUGGAUGGAGCAUUUGAUUUAUCUUCCCAUUUGACAGGAGAUCAACAUCCUUCCCCUCCCCAGCCCCACGGUCCACCAGUGUGGCCCACUCAUGUCCACAGAGAAGCUGUCAGCAUUUUGCUUUCUUGCUUUCUAUCUCCAGCAUAAACUUGACUCAAC